rnacentral:lncRNA from 1 species
CUGGAUGUAGAGGGGCAGGAAGCUAAGUAAAACUCUCUAUGCCAACUGAGCAAGGCAAAUUAUCCCCAAAUUAGGAGGGUCCAUAUCGAAUCUUAGAAGCUGUCUAACCUGGAGCCUAUAGGCUUGAAGAGCUCGAUAGCAUGGCUAUCCCUCCAACAUGGAAUGAUGAGUGUUGGGGGAGUAAGCCAUUUUCUUGACCAAAACAACUCAGUCACCAAAUGAGGAGGUGAAUCACCACUAUUUCCCCA